AUUGAACGCUGGCGGCAUGCUUUACACAUGCAAGUCGAACGGUAACAGGCCUUCGGGUGCUGAUGAGUGGCGAACGGGUGAGUAAUGCAUCGGAACGUGCCCAGAGGUGGGGGAUAACGCAGCGAAAGCUGUGCUAAUACCGCAUGUGAUCUGAGGAUGAAAGCGGGGGACCAGGCAGCAAUGUUUGGCCUCGCGCCUUUGGAGCGGCCGAUGUCAGAUUAGGUAGUUGGUGGGGUAAAGGCCUACCAAGCCGACGAUCUGUAGCUGGUCUGAGAGGACGACCAGCCACACUGGGACUGAGACACGGCCCAGACUCCUACGGGAGGCAGCAGUGGGGAAUUUUGGACAAAGGGCGCAAGCCUGAUCCAGCAAUGCCGCGUGCGGGAAGAAGGCCUUCGGGUUGUAAACCGCUUUUGUACGGAACGAAAAGGCUCUGGCUAAUACCUGGGGCUGAUGACGGUACCGUAAGAAUAAGCACCGGCUAACUACGUG
rnacentral:rRNA from 1 species